ACGGCUCAGUAACACGUGGAUAAACCUGCCCUUGGGUCCCGGCAUAACCCCCGGGAAACUGGGGAUAAUUUCCGGAUAACGCACAUAUGCUGGAAUGCUUUUAUGCGUAAAAAUGGAUUCGUCUGCCCCAAGGAUGGGUCUGCGGCCUAUCAGGUAGUAGUGGGUGUAAUGUACCUACUAGCCUACAACGGGUACGGGUUGUGAGAGCAAGAGCCCGGAGAUGGAUUCUGAGACAUGAAUCCAGGCCCUACGGGGCGCAGCAGGCGCGAAAACUUUACAAUGCGGGAAACCGUGAUAAGGGGACACCGAGUGCCAGCAUCAUAUGCUGGCUGUCCAGGUGUGUAAAAUACACCUGUUAGCAAGGGCCGGGCAAGACCGGUGCCAGCCGCCGCGGUAACACCGGCGGCCCGAGUGGUGAUCGUGAUUAUUGGGUCUAAAGGGUCCGUAGCCGGUUUGGUCAGUCCUCCGGGAAAUCUGACGGCUUAACCGUUAGGCUUUCGGGGGAUACUGCCAGGCUUGGAACCGGGAGAGGUAAGAGGUACUACAGGGGUAGGAGUGAAAUCUUGUAAUUCCUGUGGGACCACCUGUGGCGAAGGCGUCUUACCAGAACGGGUUCGACGGUGAGGGACGAAAGCUGGGGGCACGAACCGGAUUAGAUACCCGGGUAGUCCCAGCCGUAAACGAUGCUCGCUAGGUGUCAGGCAUGGCGCGACCGUGUCUGGUGCCGCAGGGAAGCCGUGAAGCGAGCCACCUGGGAAGUACGGCCGCAAGGCUGAAACUUAAAGGAAUUGGCGGGGGAGCACAAU
rnacentral:rRNA from 1 species